GUGCUCCCUUUGGCAGCACACAUACUAAAACCAGAACGAUACAGAGAAGAUCAGCAUGGCCCCUGCACAAGGAUGACACACAAAUUCAUGAAGCGUUACAUGUUUUU